CGAACGCGAACGGCUCCUUCGGGAGCCUAGUAGAGUGGCAAACGGGUGAGUAACGCGUGGGUAACGUACCCUGAUCCUGGGAAUAACCCUCGGAAACGAGGGCUAAUACCGAAUGUGGCGAACGACCGGUUGGUCGCUCGCUAAAGGUGGCCUCUUCUAUGCUGCCGGGUUGGGAUCGGCCCGCGUCCCAUUAGCUAGUUGGUGAGGUAACGGCUCACCAAGGCCACGAUGGGUAGCCGGCCUGAGAGGGUGUACGGCCACACUGGCACUGAGACAAGGGCCAGUCCCCUAUGGGAGGCGCAGGCGGGAAUAGUUCACAAUGGGCGAAAGCCUGAUGACGCGACGCCGCGUGAGCGAAGAAGACCUUCGGGUUGUAAAGCUCUGUCAGGAGGGAAGAAGGCUCUACGGGUUAAUAGCCCGUGGAAUUGACGGUACCUCCAGAGGAAGCCCCGGCUAAAUACGUGCCAGCAGCCGCGGUAAUACGUAUGGGGCAAGCGUUGUCCGGAUUUACUGGGCGUAAAGGGCGCGUAGGCGGUUUGUUAAGUCGAAGGUGAAAUCCCCGGGCUCAACUCGAGAAUUGCCUUCGAUACUGGCAAACUAGAGUGGCGGAGAGGAAAGCGGAACUCUUGGUGUAACGGUGGAAUGUGUAGAUAUCAAGAGGAACACCGGUGGCGAAGGCGGCUUUCUGGACGCACACUGACGCUCAGGCGCGAAAGCGUGGGUAGCAAACAGGAUUAGAUACCCUGGUAGUCCACGCCAUAAACGAUGGGUACUAGGUGUCGGGGGUAUCGACCCCUCCGGUGCCGCAGUUAACGCACUAAGUACCCCGCCUGGGGAUUAUGGUCGCAAGGCUGAAACUCAAAGGAAUUGACGGGGCCCCGCACAAGCGGUGGAGCAUGUGGUUUAAUUCGACGCAACGCGAAGAACCUUACCUGGGCUUGACAUGCUUGGGACAGCGCUGGAAACAGCGUCUCUCCUUCGGGAGCCCUUGCACAGGUGCUGCAUGGCUGUCGUCAGCUCGUGUCGUGAGAUGUUGGGUUAAGUCCCGCAACGAGCGCAACCCUCGUUACUAGUUGCCAUCAGUUCGGCUGGGCACUCUAGUGAGACUGCCGGUGAUAAACCGGAGGAAGGUGAGGAUGAUGUCAAG
rnacentral:rRNA from 1 species